UGCCCAGCAACUCCUAUCCCUACCUCCUCGUGGUACCGGCCGGAAACUAUGAGCAACCAUAGGGAAGAUCUGGUAACCAACCCCGGUGGGAACUUUGGUCGUAGGCUGACAGGGAACG
rnacentral:ribozyme from 1 species